rnacentral:rRNA from 1 species
GACGAACGCUGGCGGCGUGCUUAACACAUGCAAGUCGAACGAAGUGGCGAACGGGUGAGUAACGCGUAAUCAACCUGCCCUUCAGAGGGGGAUAACAGUUGGAAACGACUGCUAAUACCGCAUACUGAAGGAGGGGAUGGCGUCUGAUUAGCUAGUUGGAGGGGUAACGGCCCACCAAGGCGAUGAGCAGUAGCCGGUCUGGGAGGGUGGACGGCCAAAUUGGGACUGGGACACGGGCCCGACCCCUACGGGAGGCAGCAGUGGGGAAAUUUCCGAAAUGGGCGAAAGGCUGGCGGAGCAACGCCGCGGGAGUGAUGACGGCCUUCGGGUUGUAAAGCUCUGUUAAUCGGGACGCGGUACCGGAAUAGAAAGCAACGGCUAACUACGUGCCAGCAGCCGCGGUAAUUC